AUUGAACGCUGGCGGCAGGCCUAACACAUGCAAGUCGAGCGAGUGGCGGACGGGUGAGUAAUGUCUGGGAAACUGCCUGAUGGAGGGGGAUAACUACUGGAAACGGUAGCUAAUACCGCAUACCAUCAGAUGUGCCCAGAUGGGAUUAGCUAGUUGGUGGGGUAACGGCUCACCAAGGCGACGAUCCCUAGCUGUUCUGAGAGGAUGACCAGCCACAUUGGAACUGAGACACGGUCCAGACGCCUACGGGAGGCAGCAGUGGGGAAUAUUGCACAAUGGGCGCAAGCCUGAUGCAGCCAUGCCGCGUGUAUGAAGAAGGCCUUCGGGUUGUAAAGCACUUUCAGCGAGGAGGCGUUACUCGCAGAAGAAGCACCGGCUAACUCCGUGCCAGCAGCCGCGGUAAUAC
rnacentral:rRNA from 1 species